GACAGAGGUGCCGAGCGUUAGGCGGAAUCACUGGGCUUAAAGCGUGUGUAGGCGGACUUCUAAGUACCUUGUGAAAUCCCACGGCUCAACCGUAGAACUGCUUGGUAUACUGGUCGUCUUGAGCCACCUAGGGGCAACCGGAACAAACGGUGGAGCGGUGAAAUGCGUAGAUAUCGUUUGGAACGCCAAUGGUGAAAACAGGUUGCUGGGGGUGUGCUGACGCUGAGACACGAAAGCCAGGGGAGCAAACGGG
rnacentral:rRNA from 1 species